GAUGAACGCUGGCGGCGUGCCUAAUACAUGCAAGUCGAGCGAAUGGAUUAAGAGCUUGCUCUUAUGAAGUUAGCGGCGGACGGGUGAGUAACACGUGGGUAACCUGCCCAUAAGACUGGGAUAACUCCGGGAAACCGGGGCUAAUACCGGAUAACAUUUCGAACCGCAUGGUUCGAAAUUGAAAGGCGGCUUCGGCUGUCACUUAUGGAUGGACCCGCGUCGCAUUAGCUAGUUGGUGAGGUAACGGCUCACCAAGGCAACGAUGCGUAGCCGACCUGAGAGGGUGAUCGGCCACACUGGGACUGAGACACGGCCCAGACUCCUACGGGAGGCAGCAGUAGGGAAUCUUCCGCAAUGGACGAAGGUCUGACGGAGCAACGCCGCGUGAGUGAUGAAGGCUUUCGGGUCGUAAAACUCUGUUGUUAGGGAAGAACAAGUGCUAGUUGAAUAAGCUGGCACCUUGACGGUACCUAACCAGAAAGCCACGGCUAACUACGUGCCAGCAGCCGCAGUAA
rnacentral:rRNA from 1 species